rnacentral:rRNA from 1 species
AGAGUUUGAUCAUGGCUCAGAUUGAACGCUGGCGGCAGGCCUAACACAUGCAAGUCGAGCGGUAGAGAGAAGCUUGCUUCUCUUGAGAGCGGCGGACGGGUGAGUAAUGCCUAGGAAUCUGCCUGGUAGUGGGGGAUAACGUUCGGAAACGGACGCUAAUACCGCAUACGUCCUACGGGAGAAAGCAGGGGACCUUCGGGCCUUGCGCUAUCAGAUGAGCCUAGGUCGGAUUAGCUAGUUGGUGGGGUAAUGGCUCACCAAGGCGACGAUCCGUAACUGGUCUGAGAGGAUGAWCAGUCACACUGGAACUGAGACACGGUCCAGACUCCUACGGGAGGCAGCAGUGGGGAAUAUUGGACAAUGGGCGAAAGCUGAUCCAGCCAUGCCGCGUGUGUGAAGAAGGUCUUCGGAUUGUAAAGCACUUUAAGUUGGGAGGAAGGGCCAUUACCUAAUACGUGAUGGUUUUGACGUUACCGACAGAAUAAGCACCGGCUAACUCUGUGCCAGCAGCCGCGGUAAUACAGAGGGUGCAAGCGUUAAUCGGAAUUACUGGGCGUAAAGCGCGCGUAGGUGGUUUGUUAAGUUGGAUGUGAAAUCCCCGGGCUCAACCUGGGAACUGCAUUCAUACUGACUGACUAGAGUAUGGUAGAGUGUGGUGAUUUACCGUGUAGCGUGAAUGCGUAGUAUAGGAGG